AACCUGCUGCAGGUUCGGUGUCGAACGCAGUGAGACAACGGAGCCGCUUGCGGCGACGGCCCGAAGGGCGAGCGAAGCGAGUCAUCCUGCACGACCCACCA
rnacentral:sRNA from 1 species